CCUGCUUCCCACCACAAGACUGCUGCAGCUGAGAGAUCCUAGGACACAUGAUAAAGGCCAGCAGAAGCAAUGCCUCUUAUUAAAUACCUGAUUGCUUGUACAGUAAGCUUAACUUCUACUUGGAAAUACUGCUUUGGAAGAGAAAAUUAAGAAAAAACAUCACGAAUAAAAAGACAAGGUUGGGCUUCCCUGGUGGUGCAGUGGUUGAGGGUCCGCCUGCCGAUGCAGGGGACACGGGUUCGUGUCCCGGUCCUGGAAGAUCCCACAUGCCGCGGAGUGGCUGGGCCCGUGAGCCAUGGCUGCUGAGCCUGCGCGUCCGGAGCCUGUGCUCUGCAACAGGAGAGGCCACAACAGUGAGAGGCCCACGUACAGCAAAAAAAUAAAAAAAAAUUUAAAGAAAGACAAGGUUACUCACAGAUCUGACAUGCUAAGCUUUAACUUAGUACGUUCUUAAGACUGAUGUUUUCCAAGGAACAAACUUUCUUGUUUCCUGUGCAAUAAUAAAGGUUUGUUAUAAAAGUUAAGUACAAAAAGUGAAAAAAAAAUAGUGAUAUCUUCACAGUUGAGUUCUUAACAUAUUUUCUGAUAUAUGUAAAAAGAGAA